rnacentral:rRNA from 1 species
GGGGGGGGCAAGCGUUGUUCGGAAUCAUUGGGCGUAAAGGGUGCGUAGGCGGUGCGGUAAGUCUGGUGUGAAAUCCCCGAGCUUAACUCGGGUCCCGCGCCAGAGACUGCCGUGCUCGAGUGUGGGAGAGGAAAGUGGAAUUCCCGGUGUAGCGGUGGAAUGCGUAGAGAUCCGGAGGAAGACCGGUGGCGAAGGCGGCCUGCUGGGCAGUUACUGACACUGAUGCGCGACAGCGUGGGGAGCAAACAGGAUUAGAUACCCUGGUAGUCCACGCCGUAAACGAUGGGUACUAGGUGCCUGGGGGAGCGACCCCUUGGGUGCCGGCGCUAACGCAGGAAGUACCCCGCCUGGGGAGUACGGCCGCAAGGCUG